ACGGGUGAGUAAUGCCUAGGAAUCUGCCUGGUAGUGGGGGAUAACGCUCGGAAACGGACGCUAAUACCGCAUACGUCCUACGGGAGAAAGCAGGGGACCUUCGGGCCUUGCGCUAUCAGAUGAGCCUAGGUCGGAUUAGCUAGUUGGUGAGGUAAUGGCUCACCAAGGCGACGAUCCGUAACUGGUCUGAGAGGAUGAUCAGUCACACUGGAACUGAGACACGGUCCAGACUCCUACGGGAGGCAGCAGUGGGGAAUAUUGGACAAUGGGCGAAAGCCUGAUCCAGCCAUGCCGCGUGUGUGAAGAAGGUCUUCGGAUUGUAAAGCACUUUAAGUUGGGAGGAAGGGUUGUAACCUAAUACGUUGCAAUCUUGACGUUACCGACAGAAUAAGCACCGGCUAACUCUGUGCCAGCAGCCGCGGUAAUACAGAGGGUGCAAGCGUUAAUCGGAAUUACUGGGCGUAAAGCGCGCGUAGGUGGUUCGUUAAGUUGGAUGUGAAAUCCCCGGGCUCAACCUGGGAACUGCAUUCAAAACUGACGAGCUAGAGUAUGGUAGAGGGUGGUGGAAUUUCCUGUGUAGCGGU
rnacentral:rRNA from 1 species